rnacentral:lncRNA from 1 species
UCGCAGACGCCCGCCAUGUUCCGAGAGCCACACACUGUCCCCGCCACCUCCCUCCAGCCGCCCGCCCGGCCUCCGCCUCCCGCCGGCCCCCUCGCCGCCUCGCCCCGCCCCUCGCCCGGGCAGCCGCCAUCCGUAGCCCGCCGGCCGGCGCGCGCCAUUGGCGUCAGCGGCGCGUGGGAGGCCGCGGUGGCCGCCGCCACGGCCGCCGCCAUCUUCUUCCUGCCGUCGCCGUGGCGCGCGGCGGGCUCUGCGGACCGGGGCGCCGCGCCGGGCUCCAUGCCGCCGGGUCGCGCGGUGGGGGACGGCGGGCGGCGGCGGGGCUCGGCGUGGUUGUCCGCGCGGCCGGAGCCCCUUGUGCCCGUGCGGUGGCCGGAGUGCGCCGGCGCGACCCGCCUGGCCUUGGCUGCACGGCGACUGGGGCCGGGCUCCAGCUCUGUGGCUCCCGCCGGCGCUGACCCGGUGGCUCUGCUGUCUUGGCUGCAUCUGUCCUGCAUAUUUAUGAUCGUCUGUCACAUUCCCUGUCCGUGGACAGUGUCCAAAGCCUAGCUCGGGGGAGCGUGCCAACAGCCAGCUGAGGAUAUAGCCAAGUGGAGAAUUGCUUAAGCAAAUUGAAAUGAAGACCUGGCCUGAAAAUUUCCCUAGCUAACAGUCCCGUUCCACCUCGGAAAUAAGCUUACUGAAAUUGAAAACAUGAUGGAAACUUUGCCUUAUUAUUUGCAAAUGCUUAUGAUAUAGAAAAAAAUGUUAAGCUCUACCAGCCGAAAGCAUCAGCCUGACAUAAAUUCAACACUCCAGGGAGUCUGCACUGGGAUGGACAAAAAAAAUAAAGUGGCUGUGGGACUAUUGCAGCCAGAUCCGUUCUUUCUUUCCAUGCUCACUUUGUGGAAGCUUGUCCCUGGGCUUCUCUGAUGGAGCCCCAAGCCCCUUCUGAAUUUGUACUUCAGGAUCUGUGAAUUGUUGCUUGCUCAAAUACAUUCUUGAACAUUUU